UACAAUCAGAACAGAGCCAAGACAUGUAGUCAUAUAUGCAGAUUAGUGUCUAAUGUCUUCAGUUCUGUCUGCAGUUAAAGUUAAUGUUUAAGACCAGCAGCCAAGGACGCAGCAAAUAUGGACCCUUCUCUGCACCCACAGCUAUGGGGGAUUUAUGCAGUAUUUGGUCAUGUUAAAGCUGCUAUGAGGCAUUUUUGAUUAUGAUUAUUGAUGCCUGAAUCUGCUCCUGGCAGCAGGGUCUUAAAACCUGCUAUGUGACGUUGGGCAACACUGGCACCGCACACAGACAGGAUUUCCUGGGUAGAAUUGGCUGGAAUUUGGUUUGAAGGCAGAGGACAAGGGAGGAAUGAAAACAAAGCGUUCGGUGAAAGUUGGGAUGAUGCUGGGAGUGGAGGUAGCGACAUCCCAAACACUGGAAGGUCAGGGAUGGAUUACCAAAGCACAUGCCCGGACUCUCCUCCCCUCCUUUGGCUGUUUACUCCUCUCUAAUUUAGACAGGAUUUGAUUCCACGGAGUUCCACCAGGAUCUAUAUUUGGACCGCAUUAAGUUUGGAAAUCUCUGUGAGGAUAAUUUUGCAAAUUUGGCGAGUUAUAUUUGGAAGAAGUAUUCGAUACACCAAACAAUCCUGCAUAUGAUGGUGCUAUGAAACUUUACGCAAGAGUUUAUAUCAAAGACAUGUCUGCUAAUAGAAGCUUACAAGUAAAAGGGAGACUCAGCAGCAACGGGAUGCAGUGUGAUGGAUCUUCAGGCUUUUAACCACAAGGAAUCACAGUCUCAAUGUCUGCCCCCUCCACAAAAACACUUCAUCAACAAACCAUAGAUUUCAGCAUGAAAACAACCAUUUGGCUGAAUCAGCAGACCUUUACUAUAAGUGCCACUUUAGACAAACUUCACUUGUAACACAACUGAAGCACAACAUUUUCAAAUCAAUCUUCUGGAGUUGUUUGUUCUGUUCAAAUUGGCUCUGUUAAUCCUAUCAGUCUGCUCUAACUGACAAGGAAAAGAGCUAUGUGGAGAACAUGAGACAGAAUAGACCAUUUGUCACGGCUACCAUCUCCAGAUACGGUGACGAAUAUAAUGUGAAUUUACUGCUCUCAUGGACCUCUGCCAAGAUGAUCAAUUCUGUUUACUGCACGGAGGAAAGAGGGGUCUCUUUAAUAUCUGUGCUGCAAUGUGGGAAUUCUGCUGUAGUCCGUUUUUUUUGUUGUUGACAUAAUGAGUCGUGUUCUUUGCUGCCAUGGGGAGAGCUGAACAAGCUGCAAAAUUGUUGUGUAACCACCGUAUAAAGUUGUUGUGGCUAAUGUGUUAGAAAACAGUCACUAAUCCAGUAGACAGAAAGCAGAAUAAGCAUGGACGCCUAUUAUAAAUGGGCUAGCAAAGCUUAGCCCUCCUUUUUUAUACAAUUAAGAUGAAAAAAUUCACAUUUAAUCUAAUUUAAUUCCCUUCUGUAGAGUAAAUGAGUGACAGGUGUCAUGCCAUGCCCCCUUGAUCUGCUGAAGUGUUAGCAUCAAGCUAACGACCUAAGAUGUAAAUCCUGGUCUAUCUGUGAGUGUAGGUUGACUUAGUGGUCUUAGUGGGCGCCAAAUUGCACCAAACCAAAUUCCUACAUCUUGUUGCUUUCCGUGCCUAUAGGCUAAGACUCUCCUAGAUAAAACGCCAGCAUGAAAUAACCAUGAACAUCAUCCUCACAAAUCACUCGUACUUUCAUGGGCCAACGGGGGCCUGGCUGUGGGACCGUUCCACCUGCAGCUGGACUACACCAAGGCGGAUCAAAUGAAGGAUCCAGAGUGUGAUGAAACGCAGCAUACCAGGGCUCCCAUGUGAAUCCGGCACCUCCGCAUAACAAUCUCUGAUAAGACUUUACAAGGAUAAGAAGGCAUUAUCUGCUAUCUCUAUACUGCCUGCAAACUUUCUUUCUCACGUUGUAUUAUCAAAAGCUCAAAUAUCAACGUGGUGGGAAAAUGUGCCAGAACUUUUAUUGCCUGAUUAGAAUGCCAUAAAUAAACAAGGUAGAGACAAAAACUUUGAUAGAUUCAACGCUGACUCGAUCAGGACAGUAAUACUCCACACAACACUGUGUCCUCUGUUUUUAUUCUUUUCCCCCGACGCCCUCACAGCUGUUGUGAUGUUUAUGUGAAACUCUGUGUUGAUUCCUGGAAGCCGGAGAGAGCAGCAGUCUCUCAUCGCUGUGUAAUUGGCUCUCUGACACAGCGAGGUAUCCGACUCCCAAAUGCAUCCCAUCCAUCUAUAUUCAUUCAUCAUUCAUCCUGCUACAGCACAUUAGCGCCACUAGCAUAACAGGGCUGCAAAAACGACCUGUUUCUAGCUUUGUGUUUUCAGCUGAUGAACUGCAAUAAUGCAUAACUCCUCAGAAGUUUAACAUUUCUAACCUUAAAGAUCAGACUAUGCAGGGUGGCUUCAAUUAAACUGGAAUCAAAAUUGCACCCCACACUGGCUCAACAUUAGCUUACGGACACAUGCUGAUGACAUCAUCAAAUUCACAGCGGCUGCUCAUAAAUCAAGUUCAAACAUGCUGUGGUACAUCAGGAUCUUUUGAGUCCCAGCUUUUUUUAUUUCUUCAUGGAAUCUCAGCGAUAUUAUCUAAAAACUGGUAUGCGCAUGAAAGAAUAGUUUCCCAAAGAACAUUUGGUUUGAGAGGAUCUUCAAAGGAAAAGAAUCGGCUAUUGUCGCAGAAGGGCUGUUGCUGAUUUUAACUUGAGGAAUGUUUUCAAUGGUGUGGACAGAGAGGCUGAUGCCUCAGAUCCUGAAUCAUUUUCUCAUAAUAUCCGAGGAGACAACGCCAAGUUAUCCUGAAAACAUUUAACUUGACUGGCAGAUGGGAGGCAAAAAAAUCCACAGAUUUAUGUCGGGUUUCCGUGCGCUCAUUUUAUAAACCACAUGUAUAAAAAAGGUAUUGAGUUGUUUAAUUUGGUGCAGAAAAGCAGUGCGUGUAUAUAAAAGUGACACAUCGUGAUAUCUCUUCGGUCCCUCUCUGCCAGCAGCGAUGAAAAAUGUGUCUGACAGCUGUGCGGGGGGGGGGGGACAUGUGCAGCUGAUAAGCUUCAGCUAAAAAAAAAAAGGCUGUUCAGCUGGAGGUGAUCACAAAAUAUUUCUACGAGACGCUUUCCAGUUUGACGAGAUUCACGUCUAAUUAAGACACCUUGAAAAAAGCGUGCCUAAAAAAAGAAGUCAAACUAUGUUGUCUAUGUUUGUUGGCUCUCGUAGCAGCACAUCUCGUAUCAGCUUGACAAAAUAAUCUAAGGUAAUGAAGAGCUUUUAAGGCUGCUCAUAGUGGACUCUGGUCAGAGUGUCAGAGAUGAAUUACUACAUGUUAUAUUAUCUCUUCAGUUUAGUUGAUUAACUUCUCAUUCUCCUCACUACUUUUCUUGCUGUCUGUUCAAAGAUCUGAGCUGAACUAGGGGAAAAAUGUUCUGCCUGAUGUAUUUGGGAUUGUGGUUGAUUUGACACAGUUGUCCUUAUUUACUUGUUAUUGUCUUUAAAUGUAUUUUGCAUAAUGUUUAUACGUUUGAUUGUUAAAAACUUUGUCAUUUGUGUUGUUGCCCAUCUUGGCCAGGACACUCUUAAAUGAAUGUUGUCUAAUCUCCUCAAAAAUAAAGGUUAAAUAAAUAAAAUAAAUCUACCCAAAUCUAUAAUAAAAAGAUAAAAUCA